GACGGACGCUGGCGGCGUGCUUAACACAUGCAAGUCGAACGGAAAGGCCCCAGCUUGCUGGGGUACUCGAGUGGCGAACGGGUGAGUAACACGUGGGUGAUCUGCCCUGCACUCUGGGAUAAGCCUGGGAAACUGGGUCUAAUACCGGAUAGGACCGUGCUUUAGUGUGUGCGGUGGAAAGUUUUUCGGUGCAGGAUGAGCCCGCGGCCUAUCAGCUUGUUGGUGGGGUAAUGGCCUACCAAGGCGGCGACGGGUAGCCGGCCUGAGAGGGUGUACGGCCACAUUGGGACUGAGACACGGCCCGGACUCCUACGGGAGGCAGCAGUGGGGAAUAUUGCACAAUGGGCGCAAGCCUGAUGCAGCGACGCCGCGUGGGGGAUGACGGCCUUCGGGUUGUAAACCCCUUUCGGCAGGGACGAAGCUUUUGUGACGGUACCUGCAUAAGAAGCACCGGCUAACUACGUG
rnacentral:rRNA from 1 species